UUAAAAAUAUUAAACCUGGAUUAUUAGUAGUUAAGUUCUUGAAAUUUAAGAAAGAUGGCGGUAUUUUAGUCUGUUCAGAGGAAUCUGCCCUGUAAUUGAUAAUCCACGAUUUAAUUUACUUGGAUUUUUAGCUUAUAUAUCGCUGUAGCUUGAAUAUUUUUAUUGAAUUUUAAUAUUCAUAGUUUUUAUUAAAAGGAAAUCAAGUCAAGAUGUAGCUUAUAUCUAAGAAGAGGUGGAUUACAUUAUUUGUAUAUGUGGUUAGCAGUUUGUAAUGGCUGCUAUAAAAUGGAUUUGAAAGUAAUUUUUUAAAAAUUUAAAUGAUGAUUUUAGCUCUAAAAUA
rnacentral:rRNA from 1 species